rnacentral:rRNA from 1 species
GACGAACGCUGGCGGCGUGCUUAACACAUGCAAGUCGAACGGAAAGGCCCCCACUUUUUUGGUGGGGGUGCUCGAGUGGCGAACGGGUGAGUAACACGUGGGUGAUCUGCCCUGUACUUCGGGAUAAGCUUGGGAAACUGGGUCUAAUACCGGAUAGGACCAUGGUUUAGUGUCUCAUGGUGGAAAAAUUAUUGUUUUGGUGCAGGAUGAGCUCGCGGCCUAUCAGCUUGUUGGUGGGGUAAUGGCCUACCAAGGCGUCGACGGGUAGCCGGCCUGAGAGGGUGGACGGCCACAUUGGGACUGAGAUACGGCCCAGACUCCUACGGGAGGCAGCAGUGGGGAAUCUUGAACAAUGGGCGCAAGCCUGAUGCAGCGACGCCGCGUGGGGGAUGACGGCCUUCGGGUUGUAAACUCCUUUCGUUAGGGACGAAGCCGCACCUUUUUUGGGUGUGGUGACGGUACCUUUGUGAAGAAGCACCGGCUAACUACGUG